AGGUGAAAACAUUAAAGAGCUGGAUGAACCUGCAGGCAGCCAGUAUCAUCAGAAUAUUGAAACUUUUGUUGGAUGUGAUCCAUACAAAAUGAAGAAAAGAGAUUUUUCCUAGACACUAUCGUCGUACAAAAGGACUAUCACGAUUUUAUGUGCAUUUUGGUCCAUGACUGAACAGACUUCUUGCUUGUUUUUGGUCGGUGCGAUGUUGGGGAGGAGCUGCAGCAGUUUGCGGGAAGAUGCCGGUGGUGUGUGGCAGGGCUUGGCAGUGCGCGUCUUUGAGGCUCGAGUGGCUGGAGGAGUGCUUGACUCUGGGGCGAAGGCGUCCUCAGUUAAUAUACAAGGUCUCUGUUCUUCUGAAAAAGAAUGCAGGGCAGCCAAUUUCCUGGUUCACCUGUUUCAUUAGCACUCUUCAGACAGGAGAGGGCGGCAGUGAGGCGAGAACGAUCUUCUGAGUUGGAGCCCAGGCGUCGCAUCGUGUCCUGCAACUCAGA